rnacentral:rRNA from 1 species
GACGAACGCUGGCGGCGUGCCUAAUACAUGCAAGUAGAACGCUGAAGAGAGGAGCUUGCUCUUCUUGGAUGAGUUGCGAACGGGUGAGUAACGCGUAGGUAACCUGCCUGGUAGCGGGGGAUAACUAUUGGAAACGAUAGCUAAUACCGCAUAAAAUUGAUUAUUGCAUGAUAGUCAAUUGAAAGGUGCAACUGCACCACUACCAGAUGGACCUGCGUUGUAUUAGCUAGUUGGUGGGGUAACGGCUCACCAAGGCGACGAUACAUAGCCGACCUGAGAGGGUGAUCGGCCACACUGGGACUGAGACACGGCCCAGACUCCUACGGGAGGCAGCAGUAGGGAAUCUUCGGCAAUGGACGGAAGUCUGACCGAGCAACGCCGCGUGAGUGAAGAAGGUUUUCGGAUCGUAAAGCUCUGUUGUAAGAGAAGAACGAGUGUGAGAGUGGAAAGUUCACACUGUGACGUAUCUACCAGAAAGGC